UGUGCAUUUUCCUCAAUUCUAUCCUAUCAACAUCUCUCAAUUCAUUACAGGCUGCAAAUAUGAUUCUGUGGCUAAACAUGGUGUUCCUAUUAGCAUUCCUCAGAGGUGUCCAAUCUGAGGUCCAGUUGCUGGAGUCUGGAGGGGAUGUGAGAAGACCUGGAGGAUCCCUCCGUCUCUCCUGCCAAGCCUCUGGAUUUACCUUCAGCGGCUAUUACAUGGGCUGGGUGAGACAGGCUCCAGGGAAAGGACUGGAGUGGGUUGCAAGGAUAGAUACAUCCUCAUCUCCGAUCAACUACUCGGACAAAGUCAAGGGAUGCUUCAUCAUCUCUAGGGAUGAUUCCCCCAGCCAGCUGUAUCUGCAAAUGAACAAUCUGAAACCAGAGGACACAGCUAUCUAUUACUGUGCAAGAGAGUCACAGUGA